CGGGACGGGUGAGUAAUGUCUGGGAAACUGCCUGAUGGGGGGGGAUAACUACUGGAAACGGUAGCUAAUACCGCAUAACGUCGCAAGACCAAAGAGGGGACCUUCGGGCCUCUUGCCAUCGGAUGUGCCCAGAUGGGAUUAGCUAGUAGGUGGGGUAACGGCUCACCUAGGCGACGAUCUCUAGCUGGUCUGAGAGGAUGACCAGCCACACUGGAACUGAGACACGGUCCAG
rnacentral:rRNA from 1 species